AUACACAAAUGGUUUUGAUGCUCUAGGCAAUGUUGCACCAUAAACUAUUUCAAUUGCCCUCUUGAGAGCAUCACAAUCUACAAGUCUGUCAUUGAUCAAAA